rnacentral:lncRNA from 1 species
UGCGGCGGCAACAGCUGAAAAGGGGGUAGGGUUAGGUUUUUUUUCUGAAAAUGUUAGGAUAGUGGGCCACUUGGGCCGUCUAGGGUUUUUUAGUGUUUGGUUUUGUAAAUUGGGCUUUUGGGUUUAAUGAAUAUCGGGCUGCAUAUGUGGUAAAUGGACUGUGGACUAUUAUUUUGGUUUAUUUUGUGUUUUAUAAUUGUGAUUUGGGCCCAGCCAAAAUUGGCCUAUUACAGC